AGGAUAAACGCUGGCGGCGUGCCUAACACAUGCAAGUCGAACGCGCUUUCGGGCUUCGGUGCGAGAGCGAGUGGCGGACGGGUGAGUAACACAUGGGUACCUGCCUUUCAGUGAGGGAUACCGGCGAGAAAUCGCCGACAAUACCGCAUGGGCUUGUGGGAACACAAGCAAAGUGGCGCAAGCCACGCUGGAAGAUGGGCCUGUGGCCGAUUAGCUAGUUGGGGGGGUAACGGCCUCCCAAGGCGACGAUCGGUAGCUGGUCUGAGAGGACGAUCAGCCACACUGGGAUUGAGAACGGCCCAGACUCCUACGGGGGGCAGCAGUGAGGAAUUUUCCGCAAUGGAGGCAACUCUGACGGAGCAACGCCGCGUGCAGGAGGAAGGUUUUCGGAUCGUAAACUGCUUUUCGUCGGGGACGAGCAAGGGACGGUACCCGAGGAAGAAGCCCUGGCUAACUACGUGCCAGCAGCCGCGUAAU
rnacentral:rRNA from 1 species